rnacentral:lncRNA from 1 species
GACCCACAGGGCAUCAGUUUUUGUCAAGGGCACCUUAAAAUAGCUACUGGUUUGGCUUGUUUAUCCAUAUUUAAAAACACAUUCUGUUGGAAACACCCAAAGUGCUGUAGGAAUGAGCAUUCCAUAUUUAUUUUUGGUGUUGACCUAAAAGCUAGAGAAUAAUAUUUUCAAAUUUUAAUAUAUUAGUCUGUCAAACCUAAAUAUUAUUGUAUGGUAUCAGUCUUUGCGUUUUAAAACAUACUCCCCUAUACAUCUUUCAUUUUAGAAUAGUGUCUUUUGUAUCCUUUCAAUAACUAAAAUAGUUGCUUGUUGAAUUGAUCAGUUAGCUAAACCCACUAAAGUGUCCUUCUCACUUGUUAUUUCACUUGAUGACUGUCUAUAUUUCUAUGAUACUGUAAUUCCAUUCUCCUUUUAGCUUUCAUAAGGAAAUGCAGGGUUUUGUUUUUUCCUUUUGUUUAUCUCUGGAAUCUUCAAAUUCUUGGGUUUUGAUUCACAAAUGAAUAGAAAUAGUUAUAUACAGAAAAUUGUCUUACUAAAUAAUCUGCUUAGUUUUUAUUUUUGUUGUUUGUUUCUGAGACAGUAUUUUAGUAUGUAGCCCUGGCUGAUCUGGAACUUGUAUGUAGACUAGGCUAGUCUCAGAAAGAUCUACCUUCCUCUGACUCCCCAGUGUUAGAAUUAAAAGUGUGCACUACAACUCUUGACCCAGCUGCUUAGUUUUGCAAAGUUCUCUUCACAUUUGUAGACACCAUCAUAUUUAGGCUGAGGGCUUGGACUAGGACUUCCAGCAUGCCUGCUGAGUUUGAAUUACUUCUGAUAUAUAUGUUGCAUUCAUAGCCAAGUUGGAAUGCCUCUACCCAGCUCACUAUCUCAGGCUUGAGAUCCCACGUUCAUAUUUGGCUCCUCUUUUCUCUCUUUCCUUUGCUUUCAGGAAAUGGCCAGUUAGUAGGCUGUCACACUAAUUGCUGCUGGCACUCUGCUCUAACAUUGCCUGACACAUGCAAUGUUUUCUUGUUUGCCUCUACAGAGUCUUCAUUCAGUUUUGUUUUGUUUUGUUUUUUUGUUUUUGUUUUUUGUUUGUUUGUUUUUUAAGACAGGGUUUCUCUGUGUAGCCCUGGCUGUCCUGGUCACUUUGUAGACCAGGCUGGCCUCAAACUCAGAAAUCUGCCUGCCUCUGCCUUCCGAGUGCUGGGAUUAAAGGUGUGCGACACCACGCCCGGCUCAUUCAGUUUUAAUAUCUUUAAAAUCCAUAAUUUGUGGGCAUGUAUUCUGAGGUGUGUCAUGUGGGUCUGUGUAUGAGGUGACAGAACCUCACUAUGUAAUCUCAGCUGGUCUCAAACUGUCUCUGGUUCUUGAAUUUUGGGAUCAAAGCUAUGUGCCAUUAUACCUAGUUUGUGGGCAUAUAUUCCUGUUCAGAAACUUAAAAAUACUACCACCACUUGUUUCAACUAAUCAUAGUUGAAUUUUUUCAUCAUUAUUAGAAGAAACAAACAAAAAAGUCCGAAAACAAAGAACAACUAAAUUGGUUUAUUUGUUUCAGGCAUUUCUGGUGAGAAAUUUGAUGUAGCUAAUACUUUUCUGUCUAAAUAUGCAGCGUAUUCUGUUAGGUAAAGUAGAUAUGUCUUUGAUAAGAAGAUAUGAUUGGUUUACUCCUGCUGAGAACAAUUUAAAAACAAACUAACUAAACCAAACCAAACCAAACCAAGAAAAACAAACAAACAAACAAAAAACAAGACCAGAGUAGAACAGAAAACCAAGGAGUUAUAUAUAGGGCCAAGAUCUGAGAAAAGGAAACUUCAGAGAGAGGAGAGUGACACUUGAACUAACUACUUCUUGGGCCACCUUCCUAUUCUGGAAGUGGGGGGAGGCCACUGUACUCUAAAAUUCAUUUAUGUACUGUGCUAUGGAGCUGCAUCCUCAACUCUGCACUCUGCACUGUCAAAUUUAAUAGAGCUCUGAUAGACUUGAAUAGAAGAUAUAUAAUAGAUUAUCAAAGCUCAUCAAACUGGAGGAAUAGCUCCCAGCAGCAGUCAGAUUGACAAGCUAUAGAGUGACCUUUGGCACAGAAACUUUCUUCUUGCUUAGUUAUGGUGGUCUAGACUGGCUGGCACCUUGAGUCAUGAGAAGCAAAAGUAGAUUCUUUUUGGAGAAGAUACUUUCCUAGGCAUGAGUUGUUAAUUUUUCAUAAUCAUUGUCUGGUAUUAUAUCAGAAGUAGUCAGAGUUGGAAAUGUGAUUGUAAAGUUUUGAGAAAUAUCAGACAAGAAUUGAGAACCACCAGUAGUCUCUUUAAAGAAAUAAUACAGAGUAUUCUUCUGAUCAAUGUCUUGGUGUGAUAGUUUUUGCUUUAUCUUACUACAUUUUAUUUUGUCAAGUUUGGUUGAUAUCUCUUAGAAGCCUGUUUUUUUCUAAUGAGAGACAGAAAGGGAGUGGAUCUAGAGUGGAGGGGACUUGGGAAGGAACUGGGAGUAAGUAGAGAAUGGGGAGAUGCAAUCAGGAUAUAUUUUACGAGAAAAGAAUCUAUUUUGAACAAAG